rnacentral:rRNA from 1 species
AGAGUUUGAUCCUGGCUCAGGAUGAACGCUGGCGGCGUGCCUAACACAUGCAAGUCGAGCGUGAAGUUUUGGAAUGAUACUUCGGUAAAGUGAAGAGACGGAAAGCGGCGGACGGGUGAGUAACGCGUAGGUAACCUGCCCCAUACACAGGGAUAGCCUAGGGAAACCUGGAUUAAUACCUGAUGACGCGAGGAAGUCACAUGGCUUUUUCGCCAAAGAUUUAUCGGUAUGGGAUGGACCUGCGUCUGAUUAGCUAGUUGGUGAGGUAACGGCUCACCAAGGCAACGAUCAGUAGCCGACCUGAGAGGGUGAUCGGCCACAUUGGGACUGAGACACGGCCCAGACUCCUACGGGAGGCAGCAGUGGGGAAUAUUGCACAAUGGGGGAAACCCUGAUGCAGCAACGCCGCGUGAGUGAUGACGGCCUUCGGGUUGUAAAGCUCUGUCUUCAGGGACGAUAAUGACAGUACCUGGAGAAUAAGCUCCGGCUAACUCCGUGCCAGCAGCCGCGGUAAUAU